rnacentral:rRNA from 1 species
CGUAGGGUGCGAGCGUUAAUCGGAAUUACUGGGCGUAAAGCGUGCGCAGGCGGUUUUGUAAGACAGAUGUGAAAUCCCCGGGCUCAACCUGGGACCUGCAUUUGUGACUGCAAGGCUAGAGUACGGUAGAGGGGGAUGGAAUUCCGCGUGUAGCAGUGAAAUGCGUAGAUAUGCGGAGGAACACCGAUGGCGAAGGCAAUCCCCUGGACCUGUACUGACGCUCAUGCACGAAAGCGAGGGGAGCAAACAGGAUUAGAUACCCUGGUAGUCCACGCCCUAAACGAUGUCAACUGGUUGUUGGGUCUUUACUGACUCAGUAACGAAGCUAACGCGUGAAGUUGACCGCCUGGGGAGUACGGCCGCAAGGUUG